rnacentral:misc_RNA from 1 species
UUCCAGGUUCCUGUUCAUAGAGUUCCUAUCUCUGUGCCAGUCCAAGUGGAAGGCUCUGUUGAGCAGUAUGAAGCGAAGGACGAGGACACAGCAAAAUUAUUAGGACAUGAAACUAGCGAUAAUCUGUCCAGCCCUGAUGAGGAACUUCAGAAGGAUGAACUGGAGACUGAAAUUAUAGUAGAAGAGGUCUAUGGUGAACAGGAAC